rnacentral:rRNA from 1 species
UACGUAGGGUGCGAGCGUUGUCCGGAAUUAUUGGGCGUAAAGAGCUCGUAGGCGGUCUGUCGCGUCUGCUGUGAAAUCCCGGGGCUCAACCCCGGGCUUGCAGUGGAUACGGGCAGACUAGAGUUCGGUAGGGGAGACUGGAAUUCCCGGUGUAGCGGUGAAAUGCGCAGAUAUCGGGAGGAACACCGGUGGCGAAGGCGGUUCUCUGGGCCUGUACUGACGCUGAGGAGCGAAAGCGUGGGGAGCGAACAGG